GACGAACGCUGGCGGCGUGCUUAACACAUGCAAGUCGAACGGAAAGGCCCUGCUUGCUGGGUACUCGAGUGGCGAACGGGUGAGUAACACGUGGGUUAUCUGCCCUGCACUUCGGGAUAAGCCUGGGAAACUGGGUCUAAUACCGGAUAGGAGCCAUUUUUAGUGUGAUGGUUGGAAAGUUUUUUCGGUGUAGGAUGAGCUCGCGGCCUAUCGGCUUGUUGGUGGGGUAAUGGCCUACCAAGGCGGCGACGGGUAGCCGGCCUGAGAGGGUGGACAGCCACAUUGGGACUGAGAUACGGCCCAGACGCCUACGGGAGGCAGCAGUGGGGAAUAUUGCACAAUGGGCGCAAGCCGGAUGCAGCGACGCCGCGUGGGGGAUGACGGCCUUCGGGUUGUAAACUCCUUUCGCUAGGGACGAAGCUUUUUGUGACGGUACCUAGAUAAGAAGCACCGGCUAACUACGUG
rnacentral:rRNA from 1 species